ACGCGAGCUGGGUUCAGCACGUCGUGAGACAGUUCGGUCCCUAUCCGUCGCAGGCGUAGGAAAUUUGAGAAGACCUGUCCUUAGUACGAGAGGACCGGGAUGGACGUACCUCUGGUGUACCAGUUGUCCUGCCAAGGGCAUGGCUGGGUAGCUAUGUGCGGAAUGGAUAAGCGCUGAAAGCCUCUAAGCGCGAAGCCAACUUCAAGAUAAGAUUUCCCACCGCAAGGGUAAGACCCCAGACAGACUAACUGGUUGAUAGGGCGAAGGUGUAAGGGCAGCACUGUAUUUAGCUUAUCGAUACUAAUAGGUCGAGGACUUGACCAAU
rnacentral:rRNA from 1 species